GACCAGACUCCUACGGGAGGCAGCAGUGGGGAAUAUUGCACAAUGGGGGAAACCCUGAUGCAGCGACGCCGCGUGUGUGAAGAAGUAUUUCGGUAUGUAAAGCUCUAUCAGCAGGGAAGAAAAUGACGGUACCUGACUAAGAAGCCCCGGCUAACUACGUGCCAGCAGCCGCGGUAAUACGUAGGGGGCAAGCGUUAUCCGGAUUUACUGGGUGUAAAGGGAGCGUAGACGGCAUGGCAAGUCAGAUGUGAAAGCCCGGGGCUCAACCCCGGGACUGCAUUUGAAACUGUCAGGCUGGAGUGCAGGAGAGGUAAGUGGAAUUCCUAGUGUAGCGGUGAAAUGCGUAGAUAUUAGGAGGAACACCAGUGGCGAAGGCGGCUUACUGGACUGUAACUGACGUUGAGGCUCGAAAGCGUGGGGAGCAAACAGGAUUAGAUACCCCCGUACG
rnacentral:rRNA from 1 species